UACGGGGGGGGCAAGCGUUGUUCGGAAUUACUGGGCGUAAAGGGCUCGUAGGCGGCCAACUAAGUCAGACGUGAAAUCCCUCGGCUUAACCGGGGAACUGCGUCUGAUACUGGAUGGCUUGAGAUUGGGAGAGGGAUGCGGAAUUCCAGGUGUAGCGGUGAAAUGCGUAGAUAUCUGAAGGAACGCCCGUGGCGAAAGCGAGGCCCUGGACCCUUACUGACGCUGAGACGCGAAAGCCAGGGGAGCGAACGGG
rnacentral:rRNA from 1 species